rnacentral:rRNA from 1 species
GAUGAACGCUGGCGGCGUGCUUAACACAUGCAAGUCGAACGGACGGAUUGGAGCUUGCUCCAUGAAGUUAGUGGCGGACGGGUGAGUAACGCGUGGGUAACCUGCCCUAUGCAGGGGGAUAACGUUUGGAAACGAACGCUAAUACCGCAUAAUCUAGUUGGUUCGCAUGAACUGAUUAGCAAAGAUUUUAUCGGCAUAGGAUGGACCCGCGUUAGAUUAGCUAGUUGGUGAGAUAACAGCCCACCAAGGCAACGAUCUAUAGCCGGCCUGAGAGGGUGAACGGCCACACUGGGACUGAGACACGGCCCAGACUCCUACGGGAGGCAGCAGUGGGGAAUAUUGCACAAUGGGCGCAAGCCUGAUGCAGCGACGCCGCGUGAAGGAUGAAGGUCUUCGGAUCGUAAACUUCUAUCAGCAGGGAAGAAACCAUGACGGUACCUGACUAAGAAGCCCCGGCUAACUACGUGCCAGCCGCCGCCGUAACAC